UAUCAUUAGUCCACCAGUGCCAAGCAGUGUUGUGUGUCCCACUUCUGUUUUUGGAUGAACAUUAGAACCAAAGCCAUGUCCCCUAGUAAAAUGAACCCAAGCAGCCAAGCAGCUCACUCUGACAUGACGACGGCUAAGUGCAGCAAGUGGACAGGGGCUCCACUAUGGUCAAUAACGAAUUUAUUACAUGAAACAGCCAUCUUCCUGUGGUUGAACCAUCUUUUCUCUCACAUGAAAACUGGAAGGUAAAUUGGAAGACCCCUCCUCAAAAGCUGAUGUACAAGAAGUCAAGAAGAGAGAGAGCGAGAAAGGGAGAGAGCAAGAGAGAGUGGGUGGAGAGCUUUUGAAAAGGAUUGCACUCUGAGCAGCUGGUUAGGUAGCCAAGCGAUGCCAAUAGGAAAACCCUGCCGACUGUAUAUUUCCCCCUCACGCCUGAGGAGCCGUCCCACCCACAGCCGAGUGCCAAAGACACCAUCUGUUAGGAUAAAAAUGGACAUGAAAAUGGAGGCUAAGUCAUCAGAUGCUGUGGCACCGUCCUAUAUAGAAGAUCUGCUUUAACUCUAUCCUGGCUCCAAGUCCUUGAGGUCAUCAAAUCAGCUGCUACUGACUGCGCCAUGGUCUUAGCUGAAACUCAAUGGUGACCAGGCCUUUGCUGUUGCUGUGCCGAGACUGUGGAACAGUCUACCCUUGGACAUUAGGUCUGCACCCUCUAUUGAUGCUUUUAAGUCUAGAUUAAAAACCCUUUUUUAUUGAUCAGCUUUUGUCUUUGUAAACUGAUUGUUUCUGUAUUUUUUUGUUAUACAUUAGAUAUUGUCCUAUGUUGUCCUUUACUUAAAUGCGUUCUCCUUGUACAGCACUUUGGGUUAAAAUGUGCUUUAUAAAUAAAUACUUACUUACAUUAGUGUUCAUGCACAUGUUACUCUACAAUGCUGUAAGAAGAC